rnacentral:rRNA from 1 species
AGAGUGAACGCUGGCGGUAGGCCUAACACAUGCAAGUCGAACGGCAGCACAGUAGGAGCUUGCUCUUACGGGUGGCGAGUGGCGGACGGGUGAGGAAUACAUCGGAAUCUACCUUUUGGUGGGGGAUAACGUAGGGAAACUUACGCUAAUACCGCAUACGCCCUUCGGGGGAAGCCGGGACCAGCAAUGGCCUGGCGCUGAUAGAUGAGCCGAUGUCGGAUUAGCUAGUUGGUGAGGUAAAGCGUCACCAACGGACGGACGAGUACCUUACG